GACAGAGGGUGCAAACGUUGUUCGGAAUUACUGGGCGUAAAGAGCUCGUAGGUGGUUUGUCGCGUUGUCCGUGAAAACUCACAACUCAAUUGUGGGCGUGCGGGCGAUACGGGCAGACUGGAGUACUGCAGGGGAGACUGGAAUUUACGGUGUAGCGGUGAAAUGCGUAGAUAUCGUAAGGAAGACCAGUGGCGAAGGCGGGUCUCUGGACAGUUCCUGACGCUGAGGCACGAAGGCCAGGGGAGCAAACGGG
rnacentral:rRNA from 1 species